GAUACCGGUUGCCCGUGGUGGACGCUGUGCUGGAAUCGCGGGCGUUCCUGGGACGCUCCGGGAUUCGCGCGUUCGGUCGUGCGAUCGGUAUCG
rnacentral:tRNA from 1 species